UCCCAGCUGUAAACGAUGCGGGCUGGGUGUUGGGGCGGCUACGGGCCGCUUCAGUGCCGCAGGGAAACCGUUAAGCCCGCCGCCUGGGGAGUACGGCCGCAAGGCUGAAACUUAAAGGAAUUGGCGGGGGAGCACCACAAGGCGUGAAGCUUGCGGUUUAAUUGGAGUCAACGCCGGGAAACUUACCGGGGGCGACAGCAGAAUGAAGGCCAGAUUGAAGGUCUUGCUGGACGAGCUGAGAGGAGGUGCAUGGCCGUCGCCAGUUCGUGCCGUGAGGUGUCCUGUUAAGUCAGGCAACGAUCGAGACCCACGCCCCCUGUUGCCACUGAGGAGGUUUCUCCAAAGGGCACUCUGGGGGGACUGCCGUCGAUA
rnacentral:rRNA from 1 species